AAUAGAUGUCACUAGCAGUCAGAAUAGAAAUAGGGCAAGAAGCUUGCCAGUAAAAUAAAGAUAUCUGUAAAAUUUUGAAUGUAAACUUCGCAACUUUAAGUGCAAUCAAUGUUAAUUUUGUCAUAAAUAACAAUAACAUUAGAACCAUCUUGAAAAGGUUUGUCGAUUUGCCACCAUUUUGCUAUUAUAAGACUACUUACUCAGCUAGAAUAAAAAAUAAAUGCUAAAGAAUAUACAAUAAAAAAAUGGCAAAGAAAAAAUUUGCAGUAUCGGCAGAAGGUCGCGAAGGAGCUCUUGCUCACGAAGAAGUCAAAUUGGUUAAAAAGAGAUUAAAGAAAUUAUGUUGUUGCGGAGGAGGAUGGAUUGUUGCUACAGUACUUCUGCUGCUGGUUGGUAUACUACUACUGGUAUACUUCACUAAAUAUUGGAAUGAUGAGACAACUAAGAAAAGAAUUUUUGCUUAUUUGGGUUUAGCGUUAUUACUUGCCGGAAUAGUAACGGGAGUGGUCAGUGGUAUUCUUUGUGGUCUUGUUUAUCAUGUUCUGAAAUAUAGCGAUAGAAAAUGGACUGCUAAGACAGAGGGGAAUAAAAAUCGUAAGAAGUACAAAUUUGGUGAAGCUCCUUAUCCUCAACAGCCUACAGAGGAUACUAGGGAGGAGACGAAGUUUGUUGGUCAAGUUCAACCAGAGGAUGUAAAAAUAGAAAGUUGAAGGUCGUUGUGAGGCUUAUUGAAAGUAAAUUCUCUAGCCCCUUUGCAGCAUUGAAGAAGUUUUAAAUGUUUACAAAUCGCUUUAUAUCAAUGAAAUGUAUCUCUUUUUUCUUCGAUUGCUUGCAAAGCCGAUUAAAUCAUCCUUUCGCUACUUAAUUAGAAGUUUUUCAUUUAUUUGCUCUAAAUAUCUAUCUACAUGUGCCGCUUAAUUCGUGUCCUCUUUCUCGGAAAUGAAAUAGAAAGCUUUUCAAUUACCUCACAAAGUCCACAACUACUCCUACUUUUAACUCGUUUCUAUUUACUAUGAAACUAUAAACGCUAUUCCACUAUCUCAUCGUUCAAGUUUUCAUUUAAAUUACUUAUAACAGUGUAUUUCUUUUCUUUAUAUUUGUUGUGAUCUUUUUUCAAACUAAUACUACUAAAACAAAAAACAAAGAGAAAAUUUCGGGCUAUUUUCUAUUAUUUCUGGAAUCUAAACAACAAUAUCUAUAAAAGGAUAUUCUUUUUAUACCUUUUUAUUUGCGUUUUAUUUGCUUUUUUAGUUGUUUUAUACAGAUAUUUACUAAUGCAGAC
rnacentral:misc_RNA from 1 species